GAACUGAGACACGGUCCAGACUCCUACGGGAGGCAGCAGUGAGGAAUAUUGGUCAAUGGGCGUAAGCCUGAACCAGCCAAGUAGCGUGCAGGAUGACGGCCCUAUGGGUUGUAAACUGCUUUUAUGCGGGGAUAAAGUGGCCCACGUGUGGGCUUUUGCAGGUACCGCAUGAAUAAGGACCGGCUAAUUCCGUGCCAGCAGCCGCGGUAAUACGGAAGGUCCGGGCGUUAUCCGGAUUUAUUGGGUUUAAAGGGAGCGUAGGCCGCGCCUUAAGCGUGUUGUGAAAUCCGGGUGCUCAACAUCCGGCUUGCAGCGCGAACUGGGGCGCUUGAGUGCGCAGAAAGUAGGCGGAAUUCGUGGUGUAGCGGUGAAAUGCUUAGAUAUCACGAGGAACUCCGAUUGCGAAGGCAGCCUACUGUAGCGCUACUGACGCUGAUGCUCGAAAGCGUGGGUAUCGAACAGGAUUAGAUACCCUGGUAGUCCACGCGGUAAACGAUGGAUGCUCGUUGUCGGCCCUUCGGGUCGGUGACCAAGCGAAAGCGUUAAGCAUCCCACCUGGGGAGUACGCCGGCAACGGUGAAACUCAAAGGAAUUGACGGGGGCCCGCACAAGCGGAGGAACAUGUGGUUUAAUUCGAUGAUACGCGAGGAACCUUACCCGGGCUUGAACUGCGGCGGAACGAUUCGGAGACGAUGAGGCCCUUCGGGGCCGCCGCGGAGGUGCUGCAUGGUUGUCGUCAGCUCGUGCCGUGAGGUGUCGGCUUAAGUGCCAUAACGAGCGCAACCCCCGUCUUCAGUUGCCAUCGGGUAAUGCCGGGCACUCUGGAGAUACUGCCACCGCAAGGUGCGAGGAAGGUGGGGAUGACGUCAAAUCAGCACGGCCCUUACGUCCGGGGCUACACACGUGUUACAAUGGCGCAUACAGAGAGUCGGUGGCAUGCGAGUGCCAUCCAAUCCUCAAAGUGCGUCUCAGUUCGGACUGGGGUCUGCAACCCGACCCCACGAAGCUGGAUUCGCUAGUAAUCGCGCAUCAGCCAUGGCGCGGUGAAUACGUUCCCGGGCCUUGUACACACCGCCCGUCAAGCCAUGAAAGCCGGGGGCGCCUGAAGUCCGUGACCGCGAGGGUCGGCCUAGGGUGAAGCCGGUGAUUGGGGCUAAGUCGUAACAA
rnacentral:rRNA from 1 species